GGUUGUUCCCUGGGGGCAGUUUGUCUUGAAAACAGGCUAAAAGUGUUCGAUUCACUCCGCAACCU
rnacentral:tRNA from 1 species